rfam:Salinisphaera hydrothermalis C41B8 contig12, whole genome shotgun sequence.
GCGCCCGUAGCUCAGCUGGAUAGAGUGUCGGCCUCCGAAGCCGAAGGUCGCAGGUUCGAAUCCUGCCGGGCGCA